rnacentral:rRNA from 1 species
GUAACAUACCACUUGUUGCCUCGGCGGACAGCCCGCUCCCGGUAAAACGGGACGGCCCGCCAGAGGACCCCUAAACUCUGUUUCUAUAUGUAACUUCUGAGUAAAACCAUAAAUAAAUCAAAACUUUCAACAACGGAUCUCUUGGUUCUGGCAUCGAUGAAGAACGCAGCAAAAUGCGAUAAGUAAUGUGAAUUGCAGAAUUCAGUGAAUCAUCGAAUCUUUGAACGCACAUUGCGCCCGCCAGUAUUCUGGCGGGCAUGCCUGUUCGAGCGUCAUUUCAACCCUCAAGCACAGCUUGGUGUUGGGACUCGCGUUAAUUCGCGUUCCCCAAAUUGAUUGGCGGUCACGUCGAGCUUCCAUAGCGUAGUAGUAAAACCCUCGUUACUGGUAAUCGUCGCGGCCACGCCGUUAAACCCCAACUUCUGAAUGUUGACCUCGGAUCAGGUAGGAAUACCCGCUGAACUUAAGCAUA